rnacentral:rRNA from 1 species
GAACGCUGGCGGCAGGCCUAACACAUGCAAGUCGAGCGGUAACAUUUCUAGCUUGCUAGAAGAUGACGAGCGGCGGACGGGUGAGUAACGCGUAGAAAUCUACCUAGUAGUGGGGGAUAGCCCAGAGAAAUUUGGAUUAAUACCGCAUACGCCCUACGGGGGAAAGCGGGGGAUCUUCGGACCUCGUGCUAUUAGAUGAGUCUGCGUCGGAUUAGCUUGUUGGUGAGGUAAUGGCUCACCAAGGCGACGAUCCGUAGCUGGUCUGAGAGGAUGACCAGCCACACUGGAACUGAGACACGGUCCAGACUCCUACGGGAGGCAGCAGUGGGGAAUAUUGCACAAUGGGCGCAAGCCUGAUGCAGCCAUGCCGCGUGUGUGAAGAAGGCCUUAGGGUUGUAAAGCACUUUCAACAGUGAGGAAAGGGGUGUCGUUAAUAGCGCCAUCCUGUGACGUUAACUGCAGAAGAGGGACCGGCUAACUCCGUG